rnacentral:rRNA from 1 species
GACGAACGCUGGCGGCGUGCUUAACACAUGCAAGUCGAACGGUGAAGCCUUCGGGUGGAUCAGUGGCGAACGGGUGAGUAACACGUGAGCAAUCUGCCCUUGACUCUGGGAUAACUUCGGGAAACCGGAGCUAAUACCGGAUAUGACAUCUGGCCGCAUGGUCUGGGUGUGGAAAGAUUUAUCGGUCAAGGAUGAGCUCGCGGCCUAUCAGCUUGUUGGGGGGUAAUGGCCCACCAAGGCGACGACGGGUAGCCGGCCUGAGAGGGCGACCGGCCACACUGGGACUGAGACACGGCCCAGACUCCUACGGGAGGCAGCAGUGGGGAAUAUUGCGCAAUGGGCGGAAGCCUGACGCAGCGACGCCGCGUGAGGGAUGAAGG